UUUAUGUCGUUGAUGAUAAUAAUUCCUCCACGACUCAGCAACAAGAGCUACUCUGGGUGAUGAGCUUAAUGGUGCUGUUGCGGCUAUUUUAAUUUUUCAACAAGGAUCCAAAUGGCGCCGUUGACGAAAUUCUUUCAUUAUAAACGUCAACGAUCAACAUCAGCCAUCAGGGAACGAAGAAGGUACGCUGUAACGUGUCUGAGUAAUUAUACCUCGAGGAGUACAUACAGUUAUGUAAUGAAGAUUCGUAUGUGAGUGUUUGUUUUCUUAUUUCUUUUCCCUUUGUUUCAUUUGAAUGGAUUUUUGUACUCAAAGAGCGAGUUGACUGUAUGGUGGAUGUAUCUAAUGGUGUUGUAGUUGACUGUAUGUUGUUCAAUAUUGCUAUGAAACUCUUCUGAUUCAUUGUCACUUAUACGAAGGAUGGAAGUAUACGAAAUUGAUAAAAUUAUUAAUAAUAUUUACGAAGAGAAAGUAAACUGUUGGAUAUAUGACAAAAUAAUUCUAUUUUAAAUAAGAGACUGGUCAGAGUGGUUAUUUUGUUUACAAAAUCAAACGAACUUAAUGAAUGUAAUGGUAAGGAAGUAACUAUAAGUGGCUGUUAAACUAUUUUUAUGCUUGAAAAGUAAUUCGCAAAGUAAUGUAAAGCAGUACUACUGAGUUGUACAUAACCUCUUUCAGAAUUUGUUCUUAACCUCUUGCUUCAUAACUUCCUUAAUUAUACUCUUCAAACUUAUUGACUACUUCGAUGUUGUUACGAACAGAAACUGAUAAAAUAUUAAUCUUAAAUAUAGAUUGAAAUGAAAGCUUGUCAGGUAAAUAUAUAUAUAUAUAUAUAUAUGUGUACUACUUACUCAAACUAUGGAUCACAUAACCUAUACAAAAAAAAAAAAAAAAAAUUAUUGUACACUAUAAAGCAAGAGGUUAAAUCUUUAAUCUGUUAAGAAUUAAAUUUUUUAUUGUAACUGCGAAAAUUAUAAAAGUACCAAGCGAA